GAGUUGUAUUCAUUGACAAUAGGAAUCUCCACCACUGAAAAUUGUGUCGUGUUGAGGUAUCCUCGUUACAGUGUUUCUGUGCCACCUCAGCUUGAAUAAAACUACACCUAAUAUCAUGUCCUUGUCCCGGAGUCCUGCAUUUGGGUCUAGCCCCGCACCAGAGUGCUUAUCCUGGUUAGGGUCACAGGUCGCAGUUGACUUCAGGCGAAAGGCGGACUCCACUCUGAACUGGUCACCAGUCCGCUACAGGCCACAUAGAGACAGCCAUUCGGCGUCAACGAACGGGAACUGAACCCACGUCUGCACCAAAGUAAUGGAGUAGUGGCACACACGACUGACAUUGGUGAAGGCAGCAUGGGAUCGAUUUCCGCUCAGUGAUGGUGUUGAUGUAUGCCCUGCAACUGACUGGCAACCAAUUCAAGGUGUAGUCUGCCUAUCGCCCGAUGUUAGCUGGGAUAGGCCCUGGCUCUGCCCUUGUGAGGGUAAGCGACUUGGACAAUGGACAUGGACAUGUUAUCUUGUACUACAAAUAUUUAUUAUUCAUAUUAAAAUAGUUUUGACCUGACCCCAUUCUCAGAUGAUGUCUCCAGUAUCUCCGGACACAAACGUAUUUAUUGGCUUGUUGUUUUGUUGUCCAAACUUUGCAACACCACCUUCCAGCCAGACUAAUGUGACGGACUAAUUGUAGCACCGAAUCACUUAUUUUGGGGUUUUGCGACUUCAUGACACGAUAGCUUAGCAAUUAGCAUCAUGCU